GAUAAACGCUGGCGGCGUGCAUGAGACAUGCAAGUCGAACGGGUGACUCGGGCUUGCUCGAGUCACUAGUGGCGGACGGCUGGAGUAACGCGUAGGUGACCCUGCCCCGAAGUGGGGAAUAACUGCCCGAAAGGGUGGCUAAUACCGCAUGUGGUGGUGCGUUCAUACGCACCAGUAAAGCCGCAAGGCGCUUCGGGGAGGGCCUGCGUCCGAUUAGCUCGUUGGNGGGGUAACGGCUCACCAAGGCGACGAUCGGUAGGUGGUCUGAGAGGACGAUCACCCAGACUGGGACUGAGACACGGCCAGUACUCCUACGGGAGGCAGCAGUCGGAAUUUUGCGCAAUGGGCGAAAGCCUGACGCAGCGACGCCGCGUGAGGGA
rnacentral:rRNA from 1 species